UGCACCUGGUGGCGAGUGGCGAACGGGUGAGUAAUACAUCGGAACAUGUCCUGUAGUGGGGGAUAGCCCGGCGAAAGCCGGAUUAAUACCGCAUACGAUCUAUGGAUGAAAGCGGGGGACCUUCGGGCCUCGCGCUAUAGGGUUGGCCGAUGGCUGAUUAGCUAGUUGGUGGGGUAAAGGCCUACCAAGGCGACGAUCAGUAGCUGGUCUGAGAGGACGACCAGCCACACUGGGACUGAGACACGGCCCAGACUCCUACGGGAGGCAGCAGUGGGGAAUUUUGGACAAUGGGCGAAAGCCUGAUCCAGCAAUGCCGCGUGUGUGAAGAAGGCCUUCGGGUUGUAAAGCACUUUUGUCCGGAAAGAAAUCCUUGGUUCUAAUAUAGCCGGGGGAUGACGGUACCGGAAGAAUAAGCACCGGCUAACUACGUGCCAGCAGCCGCGGUAAUACGUAGGGUGCGAGCGUUAAUCGGAAUUACUGGGCGUAAAGCGUGCGCAGGCGGUUUGCUAAGACCGAUGUGAAAUCCCCGGGCUCAACCUGGGAACUGCAUUGGUGACUGGCAGGCUAGAGUAUGGCAGAGGGGGGUAGAAUUCCACGUGUAGCAGUGAAAUGCGUAGAGAUGUGGAGGAAUACCGAUGGC
rnacentral:rRNA from 1 species